rnacentral:rRNA from 1 species
UACGUAGGUGGCAAGCGUUGUCCGGAAUGACUGGGCGUAAAGGGAGCGUAGGUUGCAAAUUAAGUUAGAUGUGAAAGCCCGUGGCUCAACUACGGAACUGCAUUUAAAACUGGUUAGCUAGAGUACAGGAGGGGUAAGCGGAAUUCCUAGUGUAGCGGUGGAAUGCGUAGAUAUUAGGAAGAACACCGGAGGCGAAGGCGGCUUACUGGACUGCAACUGACACUGAGGCUCGAAAGCGUGGGGAGCAAACAGG